rnacentral:rRNA from 1 species
CACGUAGGGGGCGAGCGUUGUCCGGAUUUAUUGGGCGUAAAGAGCUCGUAGGCGGCUCAGUAAGUCAGGUGUGAAAACUCCAGGCUCAACCUGGAGACGCCACCUGAUACUGCUGUGGCUAGAGUCCGGUAGGGGAGCAUGGAAUUCCUGGUGUAGCGGUGAAAUGCGCAGAUAUCAGGAGGAACACCAGUGGCGAAGGCGGUGCUCUGGGCCGGAACUGAUGCUGAGGAGCGAAAGCGUGGGGAGCAAACAGG